rnacentral:tRNA from 1 species
UGGCUCAGUGGUAAGAGUGCUUGCCUUGCAUGCAUGAGGCCCUGGGUUCGAUUCCUUA